rnacentral:sRNA from 1 species
AGUAUAGCGAUUGGUUACACCUGUUAACAAAUUUGAAUACGUAAAUACCCACCUACAUCUUAUCUCUGCAGUAGGACUAUGGUGACGUUUUUAAGAAUAUAUCUCGAAAAUUUUGUACGCAAAACUUAACUUUAGAGUUCUUGAUCAAGAAUGAAAUCUCAAGAGUUUAUGACCUUAGUGAUCCAAAUAGCCAGUGUGACUGUAAUACUUCAGGGUAAGGCUGGGAAACAAGAGUAUUUGUUUUAUUUUCUUAAAAGAUACAAUCAUUAAUCUACAAUAAAAAUUCUUGGCCCUGA